GACGAACGCUGGCGGCGUGCCUAACACAUGCAAGUCGAACGAACAGACGCCUUUCUUGCUCCUCUGACGUCAACGGCGGGCGUAAGAGUAACACGUGCAUCCCCUACCUAUAAGACUACUAUAACUUCGGGAGACCGAUACCAGUAACGAAUCAUUUCUUCAACCGCGUGGUUCGAUAGUUUCAGACGGUUUGGCUGUCCCUGAUAGAUGUCACCGCGCUGCUUUGGCUGGUUGUUACGGUAACGGCUUGCUAAGGCAACGAUGCGUAGCCGACCUGCGAGGGGGAUCGCCGACACUGGAACUGAGACACGGUCCAGACUCCUACGGGAGGCAGCAGUAGGGAAUCGUCGGCGAUGGGCGAAAGCUUGACGGAGCAGCGGCGGGUGGAUGAUGAAGGUCUGCGGAUCGUAAAACGCUGUUAUUGGGGAAGAACAAAUGUGGAAGGAACUAUGCACGUGUUGACGGUACCUAAACAGAAAGCCACGGCUAACUACGUG
rnacentral:rRNA from 1 species